AAAACUUUAAAGCCUCUCAAAAGCCAAAGCACCAAAUAGCGUGUUUCCAAAAACCUUCGUCACCGACCUUCGGUCAUCGGCGUCAGGUUUAAACCAAAAUUUCCAAAAUUGCUCUUCUUGAUCCCCUAAACAUGUUUCUCCAUUUGGUUUUAGCCAAAACUCCCCUAAUCUCCUAGAUCUAGCCUUGAAAGCAGCGGGUUUCGAAGCCUAAAACAACCCUUUACGUUGUGCCAAACACCCCGAGCUUCCACUAUGUUCGUCCCCUUGUCUUAAGCUCCCUUUCUUCUAAAAAUCAAUGCCCAAAACCUCCUCAAAUCGAAA
rnacentral:lncRNA from 1 species